UACGUAGGGGGCAAGCGUUGUCCGGAUUUAUUGGGCGUAAAGAGCGUGUAGGCGGCCACGCAGGUCCGUUGUGAAAACUGGAGGCUCAACCUCCAGCUGUCGACGGAAACCGUAUGGCUAGAGUCCGGAAGAGGAGAGUGGAAUUCCUGGUGUAGCGGUGAAAUGCGCAGAUAUCAGGAAGAACACCAAUGGCGAAGGCAGCUCUCUGGGCCGGUACUGACGCUGAGGAGCGAAAGCGUGGGGGAGCAAACAGG
rnacentral:rRNA from 1 species